CAUAGCGACUAUCGUGGCAUAUCAAUAAGCGGAGGAAAAGAAACUAACAAGGAUUCCCUUAGUAACGGCGAGUGAAGCGGGAAGAGCUCAAAUUUGAAAUCUUCAAGGUUCUACCUUGACGAAUUGUAGUUUAUAGAAGUGUUUUCUGUUAGUAGAGUGGCAAAAGUUCUUUGGAAUAGGACAUCAUAGAGGGUGAGAAUCCCGUAUUUGGUCAUUCUUUCUAGCUUUGUGAUACACUUUCAACGAGUCGGAUUGUUUGGGAAUGCAGUCCAAAAUGGGUAGUAAAUUUCAUCUAAAGCUAAAUAUUGGCGAGAGACCGAUAGCGAACAAGUACCGUGAGGGAAAGAUGAAAAGAACUUUGAAAAGAGAGUUAAACAGUACGUGAAAUUGUCAAAAGGGAAGCGUUUGACACCAGUGUUGUUUUUCCGAAAAUCAAUUAAAAAUUGAUUCAUGCCAGGUUGUAUUGACCUUAUCAGCUUGCAAUUUGGUUUUGGGUCUCUUUUUGAUGCACUUUUCGGUUAACAAGUCAACAUCAAUUUCCUUUGCUGUAAAAAGGUAAGAGGAAGGUGGCUUCAAUUUCGGUUGAAGUGUUUAUAGCCUUUUAUCUCUGCAGUCGGGGAGAUUGAGGUCUGCAGCGUAGAUCCUUCGGGGCUAGAUACAUUUAUGCUAAGUUAUAGCUUUUCAUAGACAACUUGUUGACUAUGUUUAGUCAUGUAGCUUACUCGUAAGUGCUAUUUUACCUACGCUUAGGAUGUUGAUAGUCACAGCGUGUAC
rnacentral:rRNA from 1 species